GAAAGACUGUAACAAACAUCACAGAAAGGCAGAAGUACCCCUCUUCUUCAGAAUCCAAUGAAACCUCCCACACUUUAACAGUGGGAAGUGAUGCCUCAUGGGGAAGAAUUGCCCUGAAAUGCUUUGGAGCAGCAGUGGGGUAUGAACAUCCAGCUGACCCAGCUCUGCUUCCAUCAGAGCAGUUUGGACUGAAGAAGAGCUCCUGCUGGGACAUUUUAAGAAUAAAAGCAAUUAACACAAAUAACAGUUGACUAUUUACAUUCUCAAGACCUGAUCUCUCUCUUAUUAAAAACAACUGAAAGACUCC
rnacentral:lncRNA from 1 species